rnacentral:lncRNA from 1 species
CUCAGAGCAGGUAUUAAGGCGCAGAAAAAUGAGCUGCUGCAGCCUAGCUUGGCUGGGGGUGCUGAACAAAGAACGAACUGCUGGUAACUCCGCGCCUGCAGUUCUUAGCUUGCCAGCAGCCAGGGCCGGGAGAGCAUGCUGCGACCCCCACACCUGCUCGCCAUUCUUUUCCAGCCAAGCAGCCUCUUAGCAACGGCUCCCUGCGUCAGCUAGAAACGCCGAGGUCCGAAAGAGCCGGCCGAGGUAGAGUGGAGAAGAAGGCUGCCUUGGCUGGGUGCAGGCGGCAUCUUCUGCACCAGGUGGAGGACAGGCAGCUUUGCACAACUGAACAUCCCUGAGCCAGCCGGCCUCUGAGCAUCUUGCGCUGGCAGUGCCGGGCAAAGCUCCCGGGAGGGGAGGCUGCCUGGCAUGGAGGGGGCAUUGAUAAAAUGGCAGCCCCUGUCCUUGGCUCCGUUAUGCUUACAGGCUCCAAAUGGCCUUUAUCUCGGUCCUCGCAGCCUGCGCCAGUGCAGAGAGAGAAACGGGCGUCCUACCAGCUGCCGGGAACUCAGGAAUGGAGGCAGAGGCGGAAGCAGAGGCUCCAGUUGGUGGAGGCAGCAGAAACCACACUGCUCAGCUUCCCGGGAGGGAAAGGAAACAUCUGGCAAUGUCUGGAGACACUCUUGGCAUCUAGUGGGUGGAGGCCAGGAUGCUGCUAAACAUCCUCCAAUGCACAGGACAGACUCCACGACAAACAGUCAUUCAGCCUGAAAUGUCAGUAGUUCAAGGGGGAAAAACGCUGCACCAGGAUGAUGUUCGGGACCUGGCACUUGCAAACCCUUCACAUGUAGGGCUAGGUUCACAGUUGUGCCUACCCCUGGAGGCAUAUUAGCAGCUCUGGGAACUUAAAACAACAACAACAACAACAACGUUUAGGGCCCUUUCCAGACCAGAAUCUCUGAGAGGAGGGCUCAAGCAUCAUCCACAGGUUGAGACACACCAGGAUGGAGACCCACUGGACCAGAAGGGGUCACCUGCAAGGAAUGACACGCUGGAGGAGGACAAAGGCCAAAGCAUGUGAUUCUUGCAGGACUUUAUGGCCAUGCUAUGGAGGAGACAAUGCGGAACCCCCGGAGUAUUUUAAGCUAGGGAGUAAUACGGUCAAAUUUCCAUUUAGACAAAUUAUUUUAGCAAUGUUAAGCAGGAUGCUUUAGAAAGAGGAGGUGAGGAGAGCAUGAAGACCAGUCAGAAGGCUUUGCAGUGGUCCAGGACAGCAUUGGUGAGAAUGAAAAUGGAAGCAUUUCCCUAUUUCCCCUGCCCCGCCUAGCCCCCAGCCCCUGGCAAUCAGUAGUCUACUUUGGAAAUGGGUUGCAAUGGUGUGGAUUUCAAAAAUAUGCAAGUGAUAACAUUGAUGGGACUUUAGACCCAUGAGAUUUGGGCAUUGAGAGGGAGGGAGGAAUCAAAAGUGAAGCCCAGUGUUUCUUGCUUCAGAACUGGAUAUUUGGUGGUGAAAUUUACUGAGAUAAGAAGCCCAGAAAGAGACCCACAUGAGUUCUGUUCCAGACGUGUUGAGAUAAAGGGAUCCACGAGGAGGCUGGAGCUCUUCAGGUCUGGAACUUGGACAGGCAUGUUAGGCUGAGUUGUACUUUUGCAAGUUUCUCGAAAACAGAUUGAGAAAGAAGAGGACCAUGAACAAAACCCCCGGGAACCCCUAAGGAUGCAUAGAAAAAGGAGGAACACAGGAGCAAAGGGUGCCACAGAGAAAACAAGAGAAGAGAGGAUUUCAAGAAACAGGGAGGAGUUAACAGUGUCAAAGGCAGCGGAGAACUUAGGUAAGAUAAGUACUGAGGAUUGUCUGGUGGAUUUGGCGAUUUAGCAAAAGAGUUUCUGUGGAUCAGUGGGGAAAAGAAAGGAGGUAAGAGAGGAUUGAGGAACAACUGAGAGGGGAGCAUGCGUAGCUGGUAAAGAACUGUAUUUGUAAUAAUAAUAUGCCUAGUACCCUCAUAAAGUUUUUUUAUUGUAGUAACAUACAUGAACAUAAAAUUUACUCUUUUAACCAUCUUAACGUAUACACAUUGGUGAGUAAAGUACACGUACAGUGUUGCACAACCAUCACCACUGUGCAGGUCCGGAACUAAAAUGAACACUCCAAUAAACUUCCAGUCCCAAAAAGUAAACUUUAUACCCAUAAAGAGUCAUUCCCUAUUUCCACCGCCCUGCUUAACCCCCAGCCCCUGGCAAUCAGUAAUCUUGUUUCUUUCUGUAUGGAUUUGCCUAUUCUGAAUAUUUCAUAUAAAUGGAAUAGUACAAGAUGUGAUCCUUUGGGCUGAUUUCAAAAGACCUUCUCGUGUUUUCAAGGUUCAUCCAUGUUACAGCAUGUGUCAGUACUUCAUUCUGUGUCUAGGGCUCAAUAAUAUUCCACGUUAUAGAUAUAUUUUGUUUAUCUAUUCAUGGAUAUUUGGGUACAUGGAUAUGUGGAUGGAUAUUUGGAUCACUAUAAAUAAAGUUUAAGGUUUACAAAUCACUAUCUCAGUCUAGGUUGUGUCCGGGUCCUUUUAGAGGCAGAUGCUGAAACAAUUAAUGUGCAAGGAUUUUUUUUAGGAAAGCCACCUGUGAAAGAAAAUGGGACCGGGGGCUAGAUAAGGUGGGGAGAACACGACCCAAGUCUCCCUCAGUGAAGGGGAGAGGAAGAGAAGGUUGGAUGGAAUCGUCCCGUGCACCAGAGAGUCUAAAAGAGGCUCACCAAGACCUGUGGAGAGUCUGGAAGCCGAAGUCAGAUGUUAAAGGAAUUCUGAGUGUCCUGUUAAUGGGCCUGCCUUAAUAUCCCUGCCCAGUUCAGUCACUGACUAGAGGAGCUGGUAAGUCCUGGGCACAAAAACAGCAAUGAUCCUCGGCCUUUAAAGCACCCUAUACUUGUUGAUUUAUGCAGUGUCUUCUCAUGGCCCCCACACAAUCCUCAAUGUAUGAAAUGAGUAUUAUUAUUAUUAUCCAUAUUUGAGAGCUCAAGAAAACAUAAUCUUAGAGAGAUUGUCUUACCCACUAUCAAUCAGCCAGUAAGUGGUAAACCUAAUUAUUAAACUCAGGUUUUCCAAUGUUAAAGCAAACUAAAUAUGGCCUGAGAAGGACUCUGUACUUCUAUAUUUGAGUCCUUGUGGAUGAACUGUAGCCAGGCUUAAUAGUCAGACAAAAUCAAAAACCUAACUUAAUAGUAUGCACCCAUAACAAUAGCUGAGUGUUGGCCAAUCCCAGCGGCCAUACUUCAUAGACUGCUCAUAGACUGCUGAGUGUUCAAACUGUGUUCUGUUCCUCACUUCCAAUUCCUGCAUGUCACUCUACCUUUUUUUUUUCUAUAAAUUUUUUCUGACCAUGAGGCACCCUUGGAGUCUCUGUGAAUCUACUGUGAUUCUGGGGGCUCCCUGACUUGAGAAUCGUUCAUUGCUCAAUUAAACCCCUUUAAAUGUAAUUAGGCUGAGGUUUUUAUUUUAUCACUAACAAACCUCUGCUUCUCCCAAACAACUUCAAGAUAUUUCUAGAAUCAGAUUGUUCAUCUCCAUUCUUGGUUCUGUUAUUAUUUGGAAGUUCUCUCAACUCAAUAUCUGGACUAUUGCCUCUAAAUAGUCCCACUGAUUUCCAAGCUGAUCUCUGUACUAAUACCGUGACUAUUUUUUUAAAAACGCACAGUAUCAUGUACUUCAAGCAUUCCCCUUCUCAGAUAACUUGGAUAGGUCCCUACUCUUAUAAAAAAAAAAAAAAAAAAAGGAACCUAACCCCUUGACAGGACUUGCUAGGGCUUUAGAAUCUUUUCUUUCCUCCCCUUCCUAUAUGCUAAACCCACCAGCUGCCUCCCCUACACCUGCCCAAUGUGCCUUACCCAUGGCCAUGGCCAUAAAACUGCUCUCUGUUCCCCCAAAUGUCCUUUACCAUCUCAGACCUCUUGCCUCAUGAGCCCUCUCAGCCAUUCCUGAGUCCCCUCUCCAUUUCUUUGAUCUUAGAACAGGUACUCAGCCUUCAAGACACAGCUUCUCUGAUCUUCAAAGCAGAAUCCGUGCUCCUCUAGAACUUUGCGCAAAUAUGAUUAAGCAUCUGUAAAGCUGCAUUGUAAUUAAUCGGCUAGUUAUUUGGGACUCAAGACCGUGAAUUCCUUGAGGGAAGGGAUGGAGGCUAAUUCAUCUUCACUCUCCCUAUACCUCACGCAAUUCCUAUCACACAGUAGCUGCUUAAUUGAUGUUUAUAGUCAGCAAGACUACAUCAAGGAAAGCCUAUCACAAAUCAAAGCCUUGCUUCUCCGUGGGUAGAGCCGCACUCCUUCUUACCUGAACCUGGCAGCGAAGGCCAGUGUACUUAAGCUUGUAAGUAGAGGAGGGUGGCAUCGUUUAAUGUAAUCAGGGAUUAGGUGAGUUGCCAUCUUCCCAGCUUCCUCCACAGUAAUUAUGAGCCUUCACCCGGCUGUUUGGAAUAUGUGAACAAAGGAAGUGCUUUUCUUCAAUCACUCAUGACACACUUAAAAAUGUAAAAAAAGCCAAUUCCCCUAAUAUCUCUUUAAUUCCUACCUAAAAUAGCCUGAGGAAAUGGAUAUCUGAUGCCGAGUCUUCUUGUAUGAAAAGAACAAUGCUUAAGACAUGCAAAUGUCAGGAGAGGCUAAGGCUGGUGGUUCCCUUUGAUCUACAGAAAGGAAAUAUAAACAAGAAUAACUUCCCAUCAAAGUGAAUUUUAGUGCCUCCUUUUCAACAGCAAUUAACAUGGCCAUUUCAUGAUUUAUUGUUUAGCUGGAGUGAGUCCCACUUUUUUUUUUUUUAAAGCAGGAAUUUGAUCUUACACAGAAUUCUGGCAGGAAUGAUAAACUUCUCUCCCUUCUUCCUUUCCACAACUUGAAUCAAAAAUACCUUUCAUCCCUCCCGUAUGCAGGGUCUGGAGCCUCCUGUGUAGGGUGAAGUCUGCACAGAAAUGCAGUCUGAUGUUGGUGCAAGGUUGAGUGUGCUUGGAUAAGGAUGGAUAUAUGGGUUUUGGAAGCAGUCUAUAAAUCAGCUUUGCUUACAGUAAGCAGCCAUGGCUGUAGAACUCUACUUAAAACUCUUACUCCUCUUUACAAAUGUGCUGUGGAUGGCAAGCCCAGAAAGGACAAAGUCAGGAUGGACCUACAGGUUAGAAAGAGAAAAAACCACCGGGAAGAGGAAGCAGAGGCCUAAUCGGAGCUUCAGCGGCCCUGCUCCAGAAGUCCACCUGAGGCAAGAGAAUAGGGUCUGGAGGCAGGGAACCUAAGGCUGAUUCACUCUGACUUCCUAGUAAGGGAGGAAACCACCCCUCAUAUUGUCUUAUGCCCAGUUUCUGCCUCCAAAGAAAGAAGAAGUAAAAACUAAAAGGCAAAAAAUGAAAUCCACAAGCAGACAGCCCGGCACUACACCCUGGGCCUGGUAGUUAAAGAUCGACCCCUGACCUCAUCGGUUAUGUUAUCUAUAGAUUCCAGACAUUGUAUAGAAAAGCACUGUGAAAAGCUCUGUCCUGUUCUGUUCAUUCUAAUUACUGGUGCAUGCAGCCCCCAGUCAUGUACCCCCUGCUUGCUCAAUCGAUCACAACCCUUUCACACGGACCCCCUUAGAGUUGUGAGCCCUUGAAAGGGGCAGGAAUUGCUCACUCGGGGAGCUCGGUUGUUGGAGACAUGAGUCUUGCUGAAGCUCCCAGCCGAAUAAAGCCCUUCCUUCUUUGACUCAGUGUCUGAGGGGUUUUGUCUGCGGCUUCUCCUGCUACACUAGAACUAAAUCAAAAGGAAAACUCCAACUUUCCACACCUAACUAACAAAAGCCCCCACCCGCUUCUGCAUGGAAGAUGGAAAAUUGAAACUACCUCUGAUUGAUUGCUUUCUGCAACCAGUCAGAGCUUGCAUAGGGUGUAACCUUUGCAACUUCAUUUCAGCUUCUGAUUGCAGCCCAAUACUUCAUUUACAUAGAUAGAGUGUACACCAGGUAACCAAUGGGAAGCCUCUGGAGGGUAUUUAAACCCCAGAAAAUUGUGUAGCCAGGCUCUUGAGCCCAUGUACUCCCGCG